rnacentral:rRNA from 2 species
CAGCCGCCGCGGUAAAACCAGCAUCUCAAGUGGUCAGGAUGAUUAUUGGGCCUAAAGCAUCCGUAGCCUGCUUUGUUAGUUUUCGGUUAAAUCCAUACGCUUAACGUAUGGGCUGCCGGGAAUACUGCAAAGCUAGGGAGUGGGAGAGGUAGACGGUACUCGGUAGGAAGGGGUAAAAUCCUUUGAUCUAUUGAUGACCACCUGUGGCGAAGGCGGUCUACCAGAACACGUCCGACGGUGAGGGAUGAAAGCUGGGGGAGCAAACCGGAUUAGAUACCCGGGUAGUCCCAGCUGUAAACUAUGCAAACUCGGUGAUGCAUUGGCUUGAUGCCAAUGCAGUGCCGCAGGGAAGCCGUUAAGUUUGCCGCCUGGGAAGUACGUACGCAAGUAUGAAACUUAAAGGAAUUGGCGGGGGAGCAC